rnacentral:rRNA from 1 species
GAGUUUGAUCAUGGCUCAGAUUGAACGCUGGCGGCAUGCCUUACGCAUGCAAGUCGAACGGCAGCACGGGAGCUUGCUCCUGGUGGCGAGUGGCGAACGGGUGAGUAAUGCAUCGGAACGUAUCCUGGAGUGGGGGAUAACGUAGCGAAAGUUACGCUAAUACCGCAUAUUCUGUGAGCAGGAAAGCGGGGGACCUUCGGGCCUCGCGCUCUUGGAGCGGCCGAUGUCGGAUUAGCUAGUUGGUGAGGUAAAGGCUCACCAAGGCGACGAUCCGUAGCAGGUCUGAGAGGAUGAUCUGCCACACUGGAACUGAGACACGGUCCAGACUCCUACGGGAGGCAGCAGUGGGGAAUUUUGGACAAUGGGGGCAACCCUGAUCCAGCCAUGCCGCGUGAGUGAAGAAGGCCUCGGUUGUAAGU